rnacentral:misc_RNA from 1 species
UCAAGAUGAAGGCCAUGCACGGCUUCUUCGAUGAGGGAGACAAGGUCAAGGUGACCCUGCGCUUCCGCGGCCGUGAGAUGGCUCACCAGGAUCUCGGCGUGAAGGUGCUCGAGCGCGUCAAGGUCGACCUAGUCGACGUCGCCAAGGUCGAGAGCGACUGGCAGCUCGAAGGCCGCCAGAUGGUCAUGGUGCUCGCGCCCAAAUAACGGGCGGUGUCCGUUAUGCGAUUUGGCUCAGGCCCGGCCCAGCCUUGUCAUGUCAGGCUGGCCGGGCCUUGUCAUAUCCGGUGCUGCGAUGUUUCGAUCCGGU